rnacentral:rRNA from 1 species
AGAGUUUGAUCCUGGCUCAGGACGAACUCUGGCGGCGUGCCUAACACAUGCAAGUCGAACGGGGUAAUUUCUUCGGAGAUUACUUAGUGGCGAACGGGUGAGUAACGCGUGAGAAACCUGCCUUUCAGUGGGGGACAACAGUUGGAAACGACUGCUAAUACCGCAUAAUGUCAUUUGGGGGCAUCCCUGGAUGACCAAAGAUUUAUUGCUGAAAGAUGGUCUCGCGUCUGAUUAGCUUGUUGGCGGGGUAACGGCCCACCAAGGCGACGAUCAGUAGCCGGUCUGAGAGGAUGAACGGCCACAUUGGGACUGAGAUACGGCCCAGACUCCUACGGGAGGCAGCAGUGGGGAAUAUUGGGCAAUGGGGGAAACCCUGACCCAGCAACGCCGCGUGAAGGAAGAAGGCCUUCGGGUUGUAAACUUCUUUUACCAGGGACGAACACAAUGACGGUACCUGGAGAAAAAGCAACGGCUAACUACGUGCCAGCAGCCGCGGUAAUACGUAGGUUGCAAGCGUUGUCCGGAUUUACUGGGUGUAAAGGGCGUGUAGGCGGAGAUGCAAGUUGGGAGUGAAAUCCCGGGGCUCAACCCCGGAACUGCUUUCAAAACUGCAUCCCUUGAGUAUCGGAGAGGCAAGCGGAAUUCCUAGUGUAGCGGUGAAAUGCGUAGAUAUUAGGAGGAACACCAGUGGCGAAGGCGGCUUGCUGGACGACAACUGACGCUGAGGCGCGAAAGCGUGGGGAGCAAACAGGAUUAGAUACCCUGGUAGUCCACGCUGUAAACGAUGAAUACUAGGUGUGGGAAGGACGAACCUUUUCCGUGCCCCAAUUUAAACAAUAAAUUAUUCCCCCUGGGGAAUACCACCCCCAGGUUGAAACUCAAAGGAAUUGACGGGGGCCCGCACAAGCAGUGGAUUAUGUGGUUUAAUUCGACGCAACGCGAAGAACCUUACCAGGAUUUGACAUCCUACUAACGAAGCAGAGAUGCAUUAGGUGCCCUUCGGGGAAAGUAGAGACAGGUGGUGCAUGGUUGUCGUCAGCUCGUGUCGUGAGAUGUUGGGUUAAGUCCCGCAACGAGCGCAACCCCUAUUGUUAGUUGCUACGCAAGAGCACUCUAGCGAGACUGCCGUUGACAAAACGGAGGAAGGCGGGGACGACGUCAAAUCAUCAUGCCCCUUAUGUCCUGGGCUACACACGUAAUACAAUGGUGGUUAACAGAGGGAAGCAAUACAGCGAUGUGGAGCAAAUCCCUAAAAGCCAUCUCAGUUCGGAUUGCAGGCUGCAACUCGCCUGCAUGAAGCUGGAAUUGCUAGUAAUCGCGGAUCAGCAUGCCGCGGUGAAUACGUUCCCGGGCCUUGCACUCACCGCCCGUCA